GAUGAACGCUAGCGGCAGGCUUAAUACAUGCAAGUCGAGGGGCAGCAUGAAUGUAGCAAUACAUUUGAUGGCGACCGGCAAACGGGUGCGGAACACGUACACAACCUUCCUAUAAGUGGGGAAUAGCCCAGAGAAAUUUGGAUUAAUACCCCGUAACAUAAUGAUGUGGCAUCACAUUAUUAUUAUAGCUACGGCGCUUAUUGAUGGGUGUGCGGCUGAUUAGAUAGUUGGCGGGGUAACGGCCCACCAAGUCUACGAUCAGUAGCUGAUGUGAGAGCAUGAUCAGCCACACGGGCACUGAGACACGGGCCCGACUCCUACGGGAGGCAGCAGUAAGGAAUAUUGGUCAAUGGACGCAAGUCUGAACCAGCCAUGCCGCGUGAAGGAUUAAGGUCCUCUGGAUUGUAAACUUCUUUUAUCUGGGACGAAAAAAGGCGAUUCUUCGUCACUUGACGGUACCAGAUGAAUAAGCACCGGCUAACUCCGUGCCAGCAGCCGCCGCCGUAA
rnacentral:rRNA from 1 species